ensembl:lncRNA
UAACCUGCUGCUGUCAAGUUGCUUUCUCUCUCAUCAUCAUUCAUCCACAAUAUCUUAUUUUUUUCUUAAGGCUUCACUUGUGGUUUCUAGUAAGGCCCAAUCCACUGCUUUUCAUUCAGCGGUCCUCUCACAAAAUGAAUCCAUUUAAAAAUGUCAUCCGUCCCGUCUUCUCUUGCCCUCCAGUCCACCACAGUUGAUGAAGAGAGACCCAUUCACCGUUAUCCUUUCUCCCCCUCUCUUGGAUUUCAGCGCCCUAACUGAUGGCCUUGAGUGGCUCCAGCCUUUCAGUUGUCACUCUGUGGCUUUGUGGCUAAGGCCCGAGAUCACGCUGGCGGGCAUGCCAGCGCAGGUUUGCACAUUUUCUUCCCUAAAAUAUUAAUUUGACCUGUAACGCUCUUUUUCAUUUAGCGCUCAGCCGACCAUGGUGGUGGUGAUUUCAGUUCGAAACAACCUCCAAGGACUGUGGGAGUAGGUUUCCUUGGCUGUUGAACUGACAUUUUAGGAAAAUAAAAUGGCAUUAAAACACCAUAAAAACCCCUGGUAGACGGCUGUCUCCAGUUACUGAUUAAUGGGAAUGGACAUGGGGUGAGCCAGGGCCUGAAACCAAUUAAGAAGUAAACGCCCAACCAUUUACGCCCCUCGUGCUGCCAGUGUCUGAAAUGACCACAAUAAAUACUGUAGUCGCAGGACCACGAACAUCGCCCUGACUUUCUGUCCUCCUGGGCUGACACUCUAACUGCUGAAUGGAAGCGCAAGUGAUGGUCAUUUGAAAAUUCAGGCACCACAGAGAGAAUUUUCCAUGCUGGGAGCUAACAUCGCCAAGCACCUGCAAACAGCCAAACAGCGUUAGAUACUGUACGAAAUGAUUUCACAGCAGCUCUUCUCAUUUUAGAGAUAAGAAAACUGAGGUUUUUAGCUAGGAAAACCUGGAAGAGAGAUCAAGGAAGCAUAUGCCUGGGCCGUGGGAGGUUUGAUGAUAACAAAUCCUGCCUUCCCUUUGAUGAGAAAAGGAUCAGCAAAGUGCACGUGGAGAAUGAAAGCAACUCUGAGCCUGGGUUCCGGCAGAAUCUGGUCGACAAAGGACACAAAGGGACUUGUGAACCUCUUGUAUAAGUCCAGAUUCUUGGGUGCAAGUGACAGAAAUCAAACUCAAGCUAGCUUAAACUGAAAGAGAAGACGCACAAGUGAUGGUCGUUUGAAAAUUCUUCAAAACCUCGUAGACCAGGGGUUUCUCGAGAAGCGCCUUGAUGAAGUGUGCAUUUGGGCAUCAUUUGUAUGAGUAGCAGGAAGCAUGGGGUAUGGCAGGUUACCAACUGGUCUUUGAGUGAGGAAACCAGAGCGGGUCUGGACCCCAGAGCAGGACCAUUUGCUUUGGUCUCUGGCCAGGCCAACUGAGGGAUCAUAAUCAGGGCUGCAGGCCACUCUGAGGACAGCAGGGCACUGCAGAGAGAAGUCUGGCCUGGUUAGCACAUGAACAGAUGUGAACGAAGGAGAGUGCAGUUCCAGAGGAGUGCCGUGCCGGGGGCUCUCAAGGCUGAUGGAGGAAGCAUCGGGGACGGCCUCUCCUCUCUUGGGAGAGUAAACGUUUUAAACAGUGCCGGUAGGAUGGCUUUCUAUUUAAGAGCAAAAAGUGAUGAAGAUCAUUAGAGAGAUGAAGCCCAUGAAAUUAGCCGGGGUGUGCUGGCCUAUCCCUCAUCACAAACCUUAGCAACGGGAGUCUUAAUGUGUGGAAACUUUUUAUUGCAGUGGGAAAGAAUGUGGGUGUUGUAGUCACACAGACUUGCAAGUUCUUCCCCUUCUAACUGGUUAUUUAAAGCUCAGUUUCUUCCUCUAUAUAAUGGGGAUA